GGAAGAUGGUAAAAAUGCAUUAAAAGAUGCUGAGAGGUGUGUACUGCUAAGUCCCUCCCGGCCAAAGGCUUACAAUCGGCUUGGAGUUGCCUUGAUGUUGUUGAAGGAUUUUGAAAAGGCUGCGGAUGCAUUUUAUGAUGGUUGGAAGCUUGACCUGGAAAACAAGGAGCUUGAAAACGCUUUUCGGGAUGCUAUUGAAGCUCAACGCAAGCAUGGUUGAAGACGACAGACAUUUUACUAUGUUUCAGUGAGAACUUUUAACUACCUUUUGAUUAUUUGAUUGUUGUUCCCCG